UGGGGAAUCUUGCGCAAUGGGCGAAAGCCUGACGCAGCAACGCCGCGUGCGGGAUGACGGCCUUCGGGUUGUAAACCGCUUUCAGUAGGGACGAAAUUGACGGUACCUGCAGAAGAAGCCCCGGCCAACUACGUGCCAGCAGCCGCGGUAAUACGUAGGGGGCGAGCGUUGUCCGGAUUCAUUGGGCGUAAAGAGCUCGUAGGCGGCUUGGCAAGUCGGGUGUGAAAACUUCAGGCUCAACCUGGAGCGGCCACUCGAUACUGCCAUGGCUAGAGUCCGGUAGGGGACCACGGAAUUCCUGGUGUAGCGGUGAAAUGCGCAGAUAUCAGGAGGAACACCGGUGGCGAAGGCGGUGGUCUGGGCCGGAACUGACGCUGAGGAGCGAAAGCGUGGGGAGCGAACAG
rnacentral:rRNA from 1 species